GGUUUCUCCAUGUUGGCCAGGCUGGUCCUGAACUCCUGACCUCAUGAUCCGCCUGCCUGUAAUCCCAAAGUGCUAGGAUUACAGGUGUGAGCCACCGCGCCCAGCCGGAAAAUACUUAAUCUUUUAUCAUUGCAUGUGAUAUUAGCUAUAGGGAUUUUUUGUUUUUCUUUUUGAGGCAGUGUCUCGCUCUGUCAUCUAGGCUGGAGUGCAGUGGCUCAGUCUCAGCUCAUUGCAACCUCUGCCUC
rnacentral:lncRNA from 1 species